rnacentral:rRNA from 1 species
UACGAAGGGGGCUAGCGCUGCUCGGAAUCACUGGGCGUAAAGGGUGCGUAGGCGGGUCUUUAAGUCAGGGGUGAAAUCCUGGAGCUCAACUCCAGAACUGCCUUUGAUACUGAGGAUCUUGAGUCCGGGAGAGGCGAGUGGAACUGCGAGUGUAGAGGUGAAAUUCGUAGAUAUUCGCAAGAACACCAGUGGCGAAGGCGGCUCACUGGCCCGGAACUGACGCUGAGGUGCGAAAGCGUGGGGAGCAAACAGG